rnacentral:tRNA from 1 species
AAAAAAGCCGGAAUAGCUCAGUUGGUAGAGCAGAGGACUGAAAAUCCUCGUGC